AACUGUGCAUACCCUUUGAUCCAGCAGUGUUACUACUGGGAUUAUAUCCCAAAGAGAUUAUAAAGAAGGGAAAGGGACCUGUAUGUGCAGGAAUGUUUGUGGCAGCUCUUUUUGUAGUGGCUAGAACCUGGAAACUGAAUGGAUGUCCAUCAGUUGGAGAAUGGUUGAAUAAAUUGUGGUAUAUGAAAAUUAUGGAAUGUUACUGUUCUGUAAGAAAUGACCAACAGGAUAAUUUCAGAAAGGCCUGGAGACUUACAUGAACUGAUGCUGAGUGAAAUGAGCAGGACCAGGAGAUCAUUAUAUACUUCAACAACAAUACUAUAUGAUGACCAGUUCUGAUGGAUCAGGCCAUCCUCAGCAACGAGAUCAACCAAAUCAUUUCUAAUGGAGCAGUAAUGAACUGAACUAUCUAUGCCCAGAAAAAGAACUCUGGGAGAUGACUAAAAACCAUUACAUUGAAUUCCCAAUCCAUAUAUUUAUGCACACCUGCAUUUUUGAUUUCCUUCACAAGCUAAUUGUACAAUAUUUCAGAGUCUGAUUCUUUUUCUACAGCAAAAUAACGUUUUGGUUGUGUAUACUUAUUGUGUAUCUAAUUUAUAUUUUAAUAUAUUUAACAUCUACUGGUCAUCCUGACAUCUAGGGGAGGGGGGGGGGUAAGAGGUGAAAAAUUUGAACAAGAGGUUUGGCAAUUGUUAAUGCUGUAAAGUUACCCAUGUUUAUAUCAUGUAAAAAAAAGGCUAUUAAAUUAAAAAAAAAUAAAGUCUUCCUCAUGCAAUUCUGACGUGUUGUUCCUAGACAAUAUUCCCCCACUUGGUCGGGCAUCCCAUCUUCCAGUAUCUCUGCUCUUGGGUUCUGUCAGAUAAUAGUCUUUGAAGAAAAACUUUCUCCAGGUUCUUGACAAUGGCUGGUUUUAGCCAAUUUCUAUAGAUUAGCUUAGCCCCAUAUAAUUCCAAUAAUAUUCCAAAACAUUCAGAUACCACAAUUUACCCAGCCAUUCUCCAAGUGAUAGGCAUCCAUUCAAUUUCCAGUUUCUAAACACUACAAAAAGGGCUGCCACAAACAUUUUUGUACAUACAUAUCCCUUUUCCUUCCUUAAUAUCUCUUUUGCAUAUAAGCCCAGGAGUAACAGUGCUGAAUCAAAGGGUAUGCACAGUUUGACAACUUUUUGAGUAUAAUUCCAAAUUCCUCUCCAGAAUGGCCAAAUGCAUUUACAGUUUCACCAACAAUGUAUCAGUGUACCCAGUUUUCCCACAUCCUCUCCAACAUUUAUCAUUCUGUUCCUGUCAUCUUAGCCAAUCUGACAGGUGUGUAGUGGUAUCUCAGAGUUGUCUUAAUUUGCAUUUCUCUGAUCAAUAAUGAUUUAGAACACCUUUUCAUAGGAGUAGAAAUAGUUUCAAUUUCAUCAUCUGAAAAUUGUUCAUACCCUUUGACCAUUUGUCAAUUGGAAAAUGGCUUGAUUUCCUAUAAAUUAGAGUAAAUUCUCGAUAUAAUUUUGGAAAUGAGGCCUUUAUCAGAACCUUUAACUGUAAAAAUGUUUUCCCAGUUUAUUUCUUCCCUUCUAAUCUUGUUUGCAUUCGAUUUAUUUGUACAAAAGCUAUCUAACUUGAUAUAAUCAAAUUUUUCUAUUUUGUGAUCAAUGAUGAUCUCUAGUUCUUCUUUGGUCACAAAUUCCUUCCUCCUCCACAGGUAUGAGAGGUAAACUAUCCUAUGUUCAUCUAAGUUAUUUAUAAUCUCACUUUUUAUGCCUAAAUCAUGAACCCAUUUUGAUCUUAUCUUAGUGAACGGUGUUAAGUGUGAGUCAAUGUCUAGUUUCUGCCAUGCUAACUUCCAGUUUUCCCAGCAGUUUUUGUCAAAUAGUGAAUGCUUAUCCCGAAAAUUGGGGUCUUUGGCUUUAUCAAGCACUAGACUGCUAUAGUUGUUGACUAUUUUUGCCUAUAAACAAACCUAUUCCACCAAUCAACCACUGUAUUUCUUAGCCAAUACCAAAUGUUUUUGGUGACCGCUGCUUUAUAAUAUAGCUUUAUAUCAGGUACAGCGAGGCCAUGUUCCUUUGACUUUUUUUUUUUUUUUUUUUGAUGAGUUCCCUUGCAAUUCUUGACCUUUUGUUCUUCCAGUUGAAUUCUGUUAUUUUCUCAAGAUCAUUAAAAUAGUUUCUUGGGAGUCUGAUUGGUAUAACACUAAAUAAAUAGAUUAGUUUGGGUAGUAUUGUCAUCUUUAUUAUCUUUGCUCGACCUAUCCAAGAGCACUUAAUAUUUUUCAAAUUGUUUAGGUCUAAAUUUAAAGAAUUGUUUUACAUGUAGCUAGGGAAAAUAAUUUUAAGAGAUUAAAAAAAGGAAGGGAAUCUUGGAAAUAAUAGACAAGAGAGGAAAAAAGAAGAAAAUCCCUCAGGCCUGGCUAACCUUUGUUUACACAAAGGGGACAGAAGCCCUAGGGCAGGGACUCUCCCAUUGGGUGACUGUACAUUCCCUUCCUCUAAGCAAAGCCUCAUUAUUUUCCCUAUUGUCCUAUUUGGGUGGGAGGAUACAAUAGCCAGCCAAUCAGAGGCUAGUAACCCAGGAUACUGAGGCAAACAUUGCUGGAGGACUGUGGGCGGGGCUUUGCAGGCCUAUAAAUAAUGGGGCCGGGCCAGCAGGUGAGUUAGGGAGUUGCACCUUUUUUGAAAGGCUGUGUCUUGUGGGAGCUCUUUCCUAACUCCUUCCCAUCCAUCUUUACUUCUCUCCUGUUUUUUAUUCCCGUUUCUCCUUUCUCUCUUCUCUCUCACCCUGAUCCACAUAAUGUAUUGCAUUUCGAUUUCGAUUGUGACUUGUUUUCCCUGUAACUUUUGCUGGAAAAAAUUAAGAAAAAUUACUCCUAUCUCUGAUGUCAGUAACAGACUUCCCAUAUACACUGUUGGGAAUGGAGAUAGCGACCCUGAUCCUGAGAAACAGGAGUCACCCAGACCAUCCUAUCCAGCACCUGUGGCCUGGGGAAUCCCAAGUUUCCAAAGGAAUCCAAAAGUGGUCCCACAGGGGGAAAAUGAUAGAAAUGUUGCCUGGCAGUCCCCUAAAUUUUGGAAGAAUCCAAAAUUGGCCCCACAGGGAGAAAACCACACUGAUGAUAGCGACCCUGAUCCUGAGAAACAGGAGUCACCCAGACCAUCCUAUCCAGCACCUGUGGCCGGGGGAAUCCCAAGCUUCCAAAGGAAUCCAAAAGUGGUCCCACAGGGGGAAAAUGAUAGAAAUGUUGCCUGGCAGUCGUUUUGGACGAGACGAAAAGUGGCCCCACAGGUGAAAAAAUUACCUAUGGUAAUACAAACAAGAUUGUUAUUUCAUAUCUCCUCUGUAUUCCUUCCAUGCAUUUUCACGCAUAAAUAUUUUCUUUUAAUUCUUUUUC
rnacentral:lncRNA from 1 species